GGCAGAUGCGGGGUGCUAUACAUGCGUCGAGCGGACAGAAGGGAGCUUGCUCCCGGAUGUUAGCGGCGGACGGGUGAGUAACACGUGGGUAACCUGCCUGUAAGACUGGGAUAACUCCGGGAAACCGGAGCUAAUACCGGAUAGUUCCUUGAACCGCAUGGUUCAAGGAUGAAAGACGGUUUCGGCUGUCACUUACAGAUGGACCCGCGGCGCAUUAGCUAGUUGGUGAGGUAACGGCUCACCAAGGCGACGAGCGUAGCCGACCUGAGAGGGUGAUCGGCCACACUGGGACUGAGACACGGCCCAGACUCCUACGGGAGGCAGCAGUAGGGAAUCUUCCGCAAUGGACGAAAGUCUGACGGAGCAACGCCGCGUGAGUGAUGAAGGUUUUCGGAUCGUAAAGCUCUGUUGUUAGGGAAGAACAAGUGCAAGAGUAACUGCUUGCACCUUGACGGUACCUAACCAGAAAGCCACGGCUAACUACGUGCCAGCAGCCGCGGUAAUACGUAGGUGGCAAGCGUUGUCCGGAAUUAUUGGGCGUAAAGGGCUCGCAGGCGGUUUCUUAAGUCUGAUGUGAAAGCCCCCGGCUCAACCGGGGAGGGUCAUUGGAAACUGGGAAACUUGAGUGCAGAAGAGGAGAGUGGAAUUCCACGUGUAGCGGUGAAAUGCGUAGAGAUGUGGAGGAACACCAGUGGCGAAGGCGACUCUCUGGUCUGUAACUGACGCUGAGGAGCGAAAGCGUGGGGAGCGAACAGGAUUAGAUACCCUGGUAGUCCACGCCGUAAACGAUGAGUGCUAAGUGUUAGGGGGUUUCCGCCCCUUAGUGCUGCAGCUAACGCAUUAAGCACUCCGCCUGGGGAGUACGGUCGCAAGACUGAAACUCAAAGGAAUUGACGGGGGCCCGCACAAGCGGUGGAGCAUGUGGUUUAAUUCGAA
rnacentral:rRNA from 1 species